AGAAUCUUGCCAAGCAUUUGCUGUGAAUAGGUUGUGUGUGGGCAGAGUUAGUGCGCCUGCACGGUGCCACUGCCUUGGCUGGCGUUUUACUGCCUUGGGCAGUCGCCGCCGCGCGGUCAUGCUUUUCCAGCCUACAGCUUCCAAGCACCUGUUUGCUGGUUACCUAGCUCAUAGACCUGCAUGUGUGGGGUCUGGUGACCCAUCCUGGACAACAGGCUUAAGGGGUCUGUGAGCCCCAGAUUCAGCCCUAGCUUUACAACUCCAAAUGGCCUAUUUAUUCAUCAUCAAGGGCCUCUCCUGUGUGGGGACAAGACAAACCCCUCAGGGCUGUGUUUAGAGUAAUGCCCAAGGUAACACAGUUGUACAGAGUUGUCUGUCUCUGACAGAGGGGUUGGUCCCCAGCCAGCCUGCUGCUGUUGGUUGCCUCCAUGCCUCAGGACAACCCCAGCCCGCAGCCCCAGACCCACUUCCCCUGGCUUCAGGCGCCCUUCCUGCCUGCAGAUGUUGUGGAAGGAGCUGUUCUUGCCGAAUGGAACGACCAUUUCUACUGCAGCACCUUCAAACUGUCCAGAACUGGGCACUGCAAUUUAAUUGCAGUUGUGAGAAAAUGCAUUUCAAAACCACACAUAGAGACUUAACUUGCUGGACGAUGACCCUCCUACUUUCUCUAGUGGUUGGAAACACCAGACCCACACGCAGCAGCUGGGUCGAGUGGAAGUCGGCUCUGCAGUGUGUUACCUGGAGUGUGUCGUGCUUGGGGGCCCCCCACAUCAGCAGAUCAGAUGGUGCCCCCCCACCUACCCACGUGGAGGGCUGACCUUCCGAAUCUCAUCCACUCGGGCUCGUAUACGAAUCUCCUCUGGAAACACUCUCAGAGACACACCCCAAAAUAACGCUUUACCAGGUUUCUAGGUAUUCUUUAAUCCAGUCAAAUUGCCACCUAAAAUUAACUAUCAACACGUGAAUAUAUGAUUGUUAAAAUAAAACAAAACUCCAAAUUCAGAAGUAUAUAUAUAAAAAAGAAAGUCCCUGUUGACACCCCCAGAUCACGCCCUUCACCCGAGUGACCAAGUUCAGAAGCUUCUGGCACGUCUUUCUAGAACUUCCUCUCGGUUCUCCUGUGGGCAUGUCCGGGAGCCACGUUUAGUUCAGGUGCAUUGCCCACAUCGUUGUGCGGUGUUGUUUUUUUCAUACUGAGCCCUAAGUAAGUCCUGGAGGUCUCUCCACGUCGAUACCUACAGCCGUCCUGCGUUCUCUGUAUUCCAGAAAGGAGGUGCACCCCUCUGUUUAGCCAUGCCUCUGUUCAAGAGUUUUGUUAUUUCAGAGUGACAUUGAAACUGCACCUGUGGUUUUAUGUGAGCACGUGUGAGCAUAUCUAUAGAACAGAUUACUAGAAACACAUCUGCUGAGUUACAGAAUGUACAUUUUAGUAUUUUAAAUAGAUAGGGCCAAAUUGUCCUCCAAAAGACAAAGUCGAGUGAAACACCUGCUUACUUAUGCUCUUGUCAAAAGAUGAUCGUACGUCUAAAUUUUGCCAGCCUGAGGGGUGAGAGGUGCUAUCUCCUCAGUGUUUUGAUCUGUCCUCCCUGCUGACUGGGAAGUUGAACAUCUUUUCCUAAAUUUACCAGCUACUUUUAUGUUUUUGUGUGGUCUGUCUAUUCAAGUCCAUUGCUAUUUUUUUACAUUCAUUGUUGGUGUUUUAUGUAUUGAUUUUUGAGGAGCUCUUUAUGGAUUAAGAAUCAGGCUCCUUGCCUGGGAUCUAUGUUGCAAAGAUCCUUCCUUCCUCUGUUCACUUACGAAGUGCCAGUACGUAUGCGUUCCGACACACACGGGUCUGUUUCUAGACUCUUAUUCUCUGGUCUUUUGCAUAUAUCUGGGCCAAGGCCGCACUGUUUUAAGUGACAUAGAUUUAUAGAACAUAUAUUUCUUAUUUUUCAAAAUUUCUUAGCUGUCCUUUAAAAUGUUCUUCAUACAAUUGUUGGAUUCAUCCUGUCAAAUCCCAUAAGUAGUAGAUAAGAAUGGCCCUGAGUUUAUAGAUUAGUUCUGGGGAGAACUAAUUUUUUUCUCAAAAUUGACUUUUGACAUCCCAGAAUUCUAUGUAUUCCAAAUAAAUCCCUUUAUUUUAGUUUUUAAAUUCCUUUUCGGUAAAGUUUUACAAUUUUCAUCUUCUAGGCCUUUUUACAUUUUUUGGUCUCUUUUCAUGUUUUAAAAAUUUGGGCUAUUAUGAGCAGUACUGCUGGCAACAUAUUUUCAUUGGUCAUUACUGUGUGUAGAUUUAUUGAAUGUUAAUCUUUUACUAAACAGCAUCACUAAAUUAUCUACGUAGUUCUAAUAGUUUCUCAGUUGAUCACUGCUGUGGAGUGACUGUCCCCCCAUCGCACUGAAGCUUGACCCCGAUUGUAACAGUGCUAAGCAGGUGGGAAAUCCAACUGUGAUAUUUGAAAGAGGUGAUUCUGUAGAUUGUGAAGACACAGUUUUCUUCUUAGCAUGCAUUUCUCUGAGUUCCCUCUUUCCCGUGGUAAUUUGAUAGUUUGAACUUUGGUUACAGGACAAGAUGACAUUAUUUAUAAAAAUGUAAAGUUGCUCUCUAGUCGGCCUGGAGCUGCAGACUUGCCAUGAAACACCUACUGUCCAGACCCUGAGAAACCAAGGAAGACAUCAGUAAAGCUGUGCUGACUCCACCCCAGAUCAGGACCCUGAGACAACACUGAGGACGGAAACAGAAACCAGGGGUAGCCUUGGCAAGACCUUGCACCUGGCUCCUCGCACGGAGCCCCCACAGCUCACGUCCCUCUUCCUGCUUCUCGUUCCCCACAUUCUCUUCCCUCAGUCUCCUCUUUAAAACCCCUCAGAAGAUCUGAGUCUUUGAGAUGGUUGUGGUCUGGCCAUCCUCUUGCAGGCCCACUGGAGAGGUGGGUUAGCCUCACAUCUCUCCUCAGGUCACUGAUAACCCUGAAUAAAAGCUGACGUCCUACUCCACUAACA